UUAUCUGCAAUGUUUUAUCAUGAUAUAGCAAGGGUGAGCAUGAAAGUCGCCCAGCAAGUUUAAAUACAACAAUAUAAGGAUAUAUCAUGAUUGAAGAGUAUGAAUAAUAAGCUGGCUAUAAUUCAUCAAUAUAAUUGAGAACUAGCAGGAACAAACUUUUGACUGAACAAGUUUUAAACAUGAACAAACAUUUCUGAACCAACUGGUAAUGAAGGUGAUCAGCCUUUCAUACCUGACUUAUACAUGCAAGAUGUACAGAGUACAAUUUUCAUGGCAAUCAGCAAUGAUUAACCAUAAGCUUGAAUAGAACACUCUUAUUAGAGUUAAGUAAGAACAAACUUGCCUGAACCAUUGAUUAC
rnacentral:lncRNA from 1 species